GGUGCUAUUAUUAUCCUUAUUCUGUAGUUAAAGAAACUGAGGCAGACAGAAUUAAGUGUCUUGUUCAGAGUUUUUAAAAAAAUCACAGCAGAUUUUUUGAACACAGUUAUUAGACUAGCAUGUCAGGAAGUGUCAGAGAAAUAGUAUGCCUAAAUUUUGGAAGUAUAUUUGGCAAAAUCUGAUAUUGUCUUAGAUUAUUAAGAAAAUUGUGAAUAAUUGUACAAUUGGGUUACAAACUGAUUAAUUGAAAUAGUGAUUAAAGGGUAACUUUCCAGCUUACAUGGAAAUUAUUAAUGAAGUAUCUGAGGCUCUUCUUAGUGACUGUCCCACUUUAGCUUUUUUUAGCAAUGAUUAUGACAGCACACUCAACAUUUUUAGUGACAUGAAGCUAAAAGGGACAAGUGAAAUACUGAAUGACUAAAUAAAAAUUCAUAAAAAAUCUUAACAAGUAGAUGGAAGGAUGGACUGAAUUAAAUUCAACAAGUGUCAUUCAGCAUCGACUGUUUCUAUACCUGAAUAAGGCAUCUAGGGAUAAAUGUGAAAUUCAUUUCAGACUCAGUCUCUUAAGUGAGAUUCAGAGUCAUGUAAAAGAGUUAAGUCCACUGAUCUAAAGAGAAAAACAAAGAGGAUAGAAGAUGCUCACUUUUUAUCAUUAAGCUGGUCUAAUAGCUUAUAUUUAACAGCUAUAGUUGGAUAGACAUCACAGAGGGACAAAAAAAAACCCAUCUCUAAUGUUAUGUACUCUAAAAUAGAAAGGAAAAACUUAGGGGUGGAAGUGGAAGGUAUUCCCAUACACAUUUGGAUUCCAGAAAGAUUCACCUGUCCUUGCUAUGACUCUCACCCCAACAAUAAGCUUGGGUGAAUGCAGAUACAGAGACUGUGCUAAAACGAGAUGCUCUACCAACUUGGGGACAAAUUAAGACACUUGCAGCCCAAGCACAAACAAGAAUUUACACCUCCUGAUUGUA